UGAAGAAUCAGUCGUUGGAUGAAUGCGUGCGUUUGUUCGUAAACAUAAAGCGUGUUCUCGACGAGUGAACGCGACACCGCAGCUCGAAUAUCUCUGGCAAUGAUCGCGAACAACGUGUCUGACUAUCGUUACUUUUAAUGCUACGUACCACUUGGCUGCGGCUUGUCGUCUGAUUGAGAAGCCCUCGCGAUACGCGUUUAUUGAGCGAUCGCAAUCAACGUUUU